CUUCUGUGGCACAAUGGAUAACGCUCCUGAUUAUGGGUCAGCAGAUUCCACAUUCGAACCCUGGCAGGCUCG
rnacentral:tRNA from 1 species